GUUUCCUCAUUUAUGUAUGUGCUUGUGGGAUUUUUCUAGAUGUGUGUGUGUGUGUAAAACACAGUUGUGUUCCAACUAUAAAUUUUAGUCUACUUUUGAUCACUUGAGACUGCAUUGUGAACAAAUUCCCCUGUUGUUAAAUUUUCCUAAAAUAUGUUUUUAUAAGUACUCUCAUGUGUACAUUAUGAUUUAUUUAACCCUUUCCUCGCAGUUUUUUUAUUCUUGAAAUGUGCCAUAAGCAACUUCAUGUGUGAAUCUCAACAUCUCUGACUUUCUUAAGACAUUGAGUCAAAAACUGGAAAUCUAAAUCCUGUGUUGUGUGUGGCUGCUUGAUAAAGCGAAGAAUUAUUUUCCAUUCAAGAGGCUUCUGGGUUAGGACUGAGAAAGUGCGAGGAAGUGCUAUGUUCCCGCCUUCCAGAGCCCGGCCAUGUGCACAUUUUGACGUUCACUUUGUGCGAAGGAGGACUAAAUUCUCUUUUCCCUUCACCAAGCCAUGCCAGAUUCUCUGAUAUCAAGACCGUCCCCUCAGGGAAAUGUAAACUUGAAUUUGUCCGAGUGUAACAUGGAGAUUAUUGAAAUGAAGAUUCCUGGAUCCCACCCUAGUUCUACUUGGUGUGUCUGAGGAGAGGCCUAGAAGUUUAUCCAUCGUGCACCCCCAGGAUCGCCUGUGGCCUCUCAGCCUGUCCUGGACCCGGGAGAGGGGAGAGUGAAGUAUGGAAGUAUGGAAAUUCCAAGAUGGCAUUAACCCAGACAGAAAAGCAUGUGGGCCUAUGUCGUAUAGUCUAAGAAGUGUUAAAGUCUGUCUUUGCAGGAUCCAGGCUGGGGCGUCCAAGGCAGGGCGUGUGAGCUGGGCUGGUGCAGGGAAGAGAGGAAGCGGAUUUCACGCCCUGGAGCAACUGCCCAAGGUGGCAAGUCUGACAGCUUGGUCCGACCUGCUGGGCCCAGAGCAGGAGGGUGUCGAGCUGGUCCUGCUAACCUGGCCGCCCUGUCUGCCUGCUAGCUUCAGCAGAUGCUGAUUUUCCGGUACGUUCCUCAUACCAAGACUUUGUCCUGUUGUCCUGCUGAGAGGCCCCUGCCUGACUCUACAUUUUAGCUUGACCAGCAGCAUCUCUGGGCACAAAGACAGCACCCCAAAAACAAGAGGGACUGGGGGGCCCACAACCCUUUGGCUUCCUCCACCACCUUCAGGCAGGUGACGACUGUCCCUCUGCAACUGACUGAGCCUCAUGGGAAGGCCGACAAGCUCUUGUCAGGUGUCUCUGUGGCACCUGGUGACAGCGGCAAUUUGAGUUAAAAAUGAAGUCCAUGCAUGAGAAAAAGUCCAUUAUGAGAAAAUCCUGUUGUCAGAAAGAACGGCCCUAAAUCUUCACAGAACUCUGCUAUAAAAGGAAGAAAAACUAGGAAAUCAGGAUCAAAUUCGAAGAGAGUUUCCCCGACUGAAAUAUUUUUCCCAAGUGAAAAACGUGUGUUUGCGUCGGGCUGGCGAAGCAGGCAAAUGUGGUGCUGGGGACACUGAGCAGGUUCUAGACCUUUCCCGGUGAACACCUUCAAGACCGGAUAGGCAGGGAGGUGUCGGGCACCUGCUGACUUGCUCAGGAGGAGGUGCUCAGCAGGUGGGCGGGCAGCCCGACUCUGUUCAGCCCUUGGAGAUCCUGCAUCAGCGAGACAGAGGGAGAUUAGCAGGAAACCUUUUGUUUGAAAUCUUGCCCAUGGGCUGCUUGUUACAAAACACAGGGGAGAGGCCUCCUUAGCGGUGACAUUUCCGCUGCAGGAAAGCCCCCAGGAGGAAGGACCCAGACUGAAGCAGAGUUCCCCGGCUGAGCCUCCCAGACCCAGCGCCCCCAGAUUCUUUGCGUAUCCCAGAACUCUCAGGACAGGCAAGCCCAGGUCUCCUUCUGGCAGCAGCCCAGCCUCUCAGCUCUUUGCUAAUGGACAUGAGUAAAAUCCGCUCCUCUUUUGGCAUGUAAAUCUUUCCUGUGGUGAAUUUUGAAGAUCCUACAGAUACUCACAUUGACUGCAUUUUAUGACAACACUAGACAUUACUAAUGCCUGGGGAAAGAGGGGUGCUUUGCCCAGGUCCAGUGCAGAACAGCUGGAUCCCUUGGCUUCGGGGGACAAUAUGGAGAUUCUCAGGGUGAAAAUUCCCUGGGGCAAGAGGCAGAGGCUGUGGCCCCGAGCAGCUGGGGGCCUUGGGGAAGUCUCUUCCCUGACUGACCACCUCCCCAGUGAGUCAAGUGAGGAGGCUCAGGCAGCUGGUCCCGGAGAUGCCUUCGGUUCUGAAGUUCUGUGACUGUGGCUGCUGAAGAGUGUGGCUGCAUCCAGCUGCCCUCUGGGGCUCCACAUUAGCAGUGAUUUGUGGCCUUUUAGUGGCGAGAAAGACACCACGAUCGUACCCUCGUGGCAGGGGCUGGUGGAUGAAGAACGGCGCGGGGAGAGAAAGACCUAACUCCUGCUCGGGAUUUAAUGAGCACGCACGUUGGGGCUGACUCUGUUUAUAGUAAGUCCCACCUGGGACUGAUUGCAUUGUUAAUAAACAUCUUCGAGUUUCUGAGCUGCCACCAGGAUGCAUCAAAAGAACUAAUUACUCAGAUUUUUGUUUAAUGGUGCUUAUCUAAAUAACUUAGGAGCCUUUGAGUGAAAACAAUAAAAAUGCAAAUG